GAUGAACGCUAGCUACAGGCUUAACACAUGCAAGUCGAGGGGCAGCAUGGUCUUAGCUUGCUAAGGCCGAUGGCGACCGGCGCACGGGUGAGUAACACGUAUCCAACCUGCCGUCUACUCUUGGACAGCCUUCUGAAAGGAAGAUUAAUACAAGAUGGCAUCAUGAGUCCGCAUGUUCACAUGAUUAAAGGUAUUCCGGUAGACGAUGGGGAUGCGUUCCAUUAGAUAGUAGGCGGGGUAACGGCCCACCUAGUCUUCGAUGGAUAGGGGUUCUGAGAGGAAGGUCCCCCCCAUUGGAACUGAGACACGGUCCCAACUCCUACGGGAGGCCGCAGUGGGGAAUAUUGGUCAAUGGGCGCAGGCCUGAACCAGCCAAGUAGCGUGAAGGAUGCCUGCCCUUUGGGUUGUAAACUUCUUUUAUAAAGGAAUAAAGUCGGGUAUGUAUACCCGUUUGCAUGUACUUUAUGAAUAAGGAUCGGCUAACUCCGU
rnacentral:rRNA from 1 species